rnacentral:rRNA from 1 species
GAGUUUGAUCAUGGCUCAGAACGAACGCUGGCGGCAGGCUUAACACAUGCAAGUCGAACGAUGUCUUCGGACAUAGUGGCAGACGGGUGAGUAACGCGUGGGAAUCUACCCAGUCCUUCGGGAUAACAGUUGGAAACGACUGCUAAUACCGGAUACGCCCUUUUGGGGAAAGAUUUAUCGGGAUUGGAUGAGCCCGCGUAAGAUUAGCUAGAUGGUGGGGUAACGGCCUACCAUGGCGACGAUCUUUAGCUGGUCUGAGAGGAUGAUCAGCCACACUGGGACUGAGACACGGCCCAGACUCCUACGGGAGGCAGCAGUGGGGAAUAUUGGACAAUGGGGGCAACCCUGAUCCAGCCAUGCCGCGUGAGUGAUGAAGGCCUUAGGGUUGUAAAGCUCUUUCACCGGUGAAGAUAAUGACGGUAACCGGAGAAGAAGCCCCGGCUAACUUCGUGCCAGCCGCCGCGGUAAU